rnacentral:rRNA from 1 species
UACGUAGGCAGCGAGCGCUGUUCGGAGUUACUGGGCGUAAAGGGUGUGUAGGCGGUUCUUUAAGUUUGGUGUGAAAUCUCCCGGCUCAACCGGGAGGGUGCGCCGAAUACUGAGGGACUAGAGUAUGGGAUGGGAAAGUGGAAUUCCUGGUGUAGCGGUGAAAUGCGUAGAUAUCAGGAGGAACACCUGUGGUGUAGACGGCUUUCUGGACCAUAACUGACGCUGAGACACGAAAGCGUGGGGAGCAAACAGG